UGGGGAAUAUUGGACAAUGGACCAAGAGUCUGAUCCAGCAAUUCUGUGUGCACGAUGAAGUUUUUCGGAAUGUAAAGUGCUUUCAGUUGGGAAGAAAGAAAUGACGGUACCAACAGAAGAAGUGACGGCUAAAUACGUGCCAGCAGCCGCGGUAAUACGUAUGUCACGAGCGUUAUCCGGAUUUAUUGGGCGUAAAGCGCGUCUAGGUGGUUAUGUAAGUCUGAUGUGAAAAUGCAGGGCUCAACUCUGUAUUGCGUUGGAAACUGUAUAACUAGAGUACUGGAGAGGUAGGCGGAACUACAAGUGUAGAGGUGAAAUUCGUAGAUAUUUGUAGGAAUGCCGAUGGGGAAGCCAGCUUACUGGACAGAUACUGACGCUGAAGCGCGAAAGCGUGGGUAGCAAACAGGAUUAGAUACCCUGGUAGUCCACGCCGUAAACGAUGAUUACUAGGUGUUGGGGGUCGAACCUCAGCGCCCUAGCAAACGCGAUAAGUAAUCCGCCUGGGGAGUACGUACGCAAGUAUG
rnacentral:rRNA from 1 species